UACGUAGGGGGCAAGCGUUGUCCGGAUUUAUUGGGCGUAAAGCGCGUGUAGGCGGCCAGGUAGGCCGGGUGUGAAAACUCCAGGCUCAACCUGGAGACGCCACCUGAUACUGCUGUGGCUAGAGUCCGGUAGGGGAGCAUGGAAUUCCUGGUGUAGCGGUGAAAUGCGCAGAUAUCAGGAGAAACACCAGUGGCGAAGGCGGUGCUCUGGGCCGGAACUGACGCUGAGGAGCGAAAGCGUGGGGAGCAAACAGG
rnacentral:rRNA from 1 species